AAGUGUCCGUAGCCGGUUUCGUAAGUUCCUGGUAAAAUCGGGUAGCUUAACUAUUCGUAUGCUAGGAAUACUGCGGUACUAGAGGGCGGGAGAGGUCUGAGGUACUACAGGGGUAGGGGUGAAAUCUUAUAAUCCUUGUAGGACCACCAGUGGCGAAAGCGUCAGACUGGAACGCGCCUGACGGUGAGGGACGAAAGCCAGGGGAGCGAACCGGAUUAGAUACCCGGGUAGUCCUGGCCGUAAACGAUGCAUACUAGGUAAUGGCACGGCCAUGAGCCGUGUCAGUGCCGUAGGGAAACCGUUAAGUGUGCCGCCUGGGAAGUACGGUCGCAAGGCUAAAACUUAAAGGAAUUGGCGGGGGAGCACCACAAGGGGUGAAGCCUGCGGUUCAAUUGGACUCAACGCCGGGAAUCUUACCAGGGGAGACAGCAGAAUGACGGUCAGGUUGACGACCUUACCCGACGAGCUGAGAGGAGGUGCAUGGCCGUCGCCAGUUCGUGCUGUGAGGUAUCCUGUUAAGUCAGGCAACGAACGAGACCCGCGCUUUUAUUUGCC
rnacentral:rRNA from 1 species